GAUGAAGAACGUAGCGAAAUGCGAUAAGUAGUGUGAAUUGCAGAAUUCAGUGAAUCAUCGAAUCUUUGAACGCACAUUGCGCCCCUUGGUAUUCCAUGGGGCAUGCCUGUUCGAGCGUCAUUUGUACCUUCAAGCUUUGCUUGGUGUUGGGUGUUUGUCUCGCCUUUGCGUGUAGACUCGCCUUAAAAUAAUUGGCAGCCGGCGUAUUGAUUUCGGAGCGCAGUACAUCUCGCGCUUUGCACUCAUAACGACAGCGUCCAAAAGUACAUUUUACACUCUUGACCUCGGAUCAAGUAGGGAUACCCGCUGAACUUAAGCAUAUCAAUAAGCGGAGGA
rnacentral:misc_RNA from 1 species